rnacentral:rRNA from 1 species
GACGAACGCUGGCGGCGUGCUUAACACAUGCAAGUCGAGCGAACAGAUGAGAAGCUUGCUUCUCUGAUGUUAGCGGCGGACGGGUGAGUAACACGUGGGUAACCUACCUAUAAGACUGGGAUAACUCCGGGAAACCGGGGCUAAUACCGGAUAAUAUUUUGAACCGCAUGGUUCAAUAGUGAAAGACGGUUUCGGCUGUCACUUAUAGAUGGACCCGCGCCGUAUUAGCUAGUUGGUAAGGUAACGGCUUACCAAGGCGACGAUACGUAGCCGAACUGAGAGGGUGAUCGGCCACACUGGAACUGAGACACGGUCCAGACUCCUACGGGAGGCAGCAGUAGGGAAUCUUCCGCAAUGGGCGAAAGCCUGACGGAGCAACGCCGCGUGAGUGAUGAAGGUCUUCGGAUCGUAAAACUCUGUUGUUAGGGAAGAACAAAUUUGUUAGUAACUGAACAAGUCUUGACGGUACCUAACCAGAAAGCCACGGCUAACUACGUGCCAGCCGCCGCAGUAA